rnacentral:lncRNA from 1 species
CCUUUAAUUGUUAAUUGCAUGCUUAUUGAUGUUGCUUAAAUGAACAUGUUUUCACAAAAUAUUCCUUCAAGUGGUAUCAGAGCCUAGGUCUAGUAGUUGGUGAAUCCUUUUGGGUUUUGUAGUUCAUAGUUUGUGAUUUAAAAGUUGUAAUAUGUUACAAGCUUUAUUCUUGUUUUUUGAAUGUAAAUUUUGCUAGAAAAUUUGUCAUCUCAAAUGUUGUAGAUGUAGUUCAUAUGAGCAUGAAUAUUGGAGCUAAAUUUGGUGCCAUGACUUUGGGGAUUUUCGGCCAAAUCCAAAGGGUGGAUUUUUGGGUUCUUGUUUGACUUGUUAAAUGUGUUUUCAAGUGACUUUUGGAACCCUUAUGUACCCUAGUUUGGUUAGAUGUUAUUUCCCUAAAGUUUGAAUGGUUUUGGAAUGUUUUUGGGUGAAAAAAGUUCAUGGAAAAAUUUUGGGUUUUUCAUGAAUGUUCUUCAUUGUUCUUGACAUUUUUGCCAAGAACAAAAAGGUUUGUGUUUUGAUUCAAAGUUUUGAUUUAUUACAUAAAGUUUAUGUUUUUUGUUUUUCAAAUGUUUUAAUACAUAAGAUAUUUAUUUGAAGGGUGAUGGAAAUGGUGAUGGGUGUGUAAGGAUUAAUUUCCUUUCACAUACACCACUUGCACCACUUGUUGCUUUAUGUCUAAAACUCACAAAUCAACACACACAUCACUCUAUCCUCUUCCAAAACCGGCCACCCUUGCAAGUGGGGUACUUUUGGGGCUUUUAUGCAAUUUACAUAAAGUUUUGAUACUUUUGUGUAUUUGCACUUUGGCCCAAAAAGUUUACGUUUUUUUACGUUUAGGUCCAAAAACGCUAAAGGACAAAUUGUUUUGAUCCUUUAAUGAAGUUUUGCAUUGAUUAAAUUUUGGGUUCUAUUGUAAUUACAUGAAGUAGUGGACUUUUGUGUCUUUACAAAGUGACCCCAAAAGUUUUGCAAUGUAGCCCAAAAGUUGAGGUUAAUUGCUUUAUGGCCCAAAAGUUGUGGUUAUUGCAUAUUGGCCCAAAUUAAGUAGAGAACAAAAUUGUUUUGUCUCUUUAAAAUGAGAAUUGGAUUUUCAUUUUGUUUAGCUCCAUUUAAAUCAAUUUUAUGGAUACAAAAAAACCAAAUGAAAAUGUUGCAUUUAAUUUAAUUAGUUAAAGUGUUAAUUAAUUAAAGGGUGAUUAUGAACCUAAGCCUAAUAUAAUUGAGCUAUGUGAAAGGCCGUUUCAAAUUUGUUUGAACCAUGGGAAUGUGUAGAUUAAUUUUGGUUGUAAUUUGAUUUGAUCAAAUGUUGUAAAAGGGCUUAAGCUCUUCUUUACUUUAAAGUAAUUUGUUUUAUGCAAAUGUUGUAAUGAGCAUAAGCUCACCUUUACUUUGAAGUACUUCUUUCUUGCUUUAUAUGAUAUGCAUGAAAAUGAAGUAGUUGGGUCCAACGCCCCUAAGACAACACGCCUUAAUGUGAUUAAACGCGUAACUAAAAUCAAUCACCAUUCCUAGACCGAGAUUCAACACAAGGCUCGUGUUGAAUCUAAACCAAGGUUCAUAGUCAUCCUAAGGCCCUAAGGCAACUAUAUAGUCCAUUAAAUGAAUGCAAAGUUUAUGUUAGUAGUAUCAUAUACUCUUGCUUUAAAAACCGUUUUAAAAGCAUAGUGGGAGUAUCAUAUACAACUAAAACAAUCAUAUGGACCAAUAGUUGUAAUAGGACCAAAAUUGUUUUAAUAGAGAUUAAAAUGUAUGUUUAUAUGUGAUGAGACCUAAAACCCUCAACCAAACCAAUAUUAAGUUGAAAAGCGUGAGAGUGCUUUGAACACUCUUUCGUGGCCUUCCACCGUGGUAGGCUUCAAUCGUUUGUGACUCAUACAAUGUAUUCGUCCAGUUCUGGGGUUGCAAAGUAUGUGCUUACAUUCAGGAGAAGCCUAUAAACAUAUGAUG